UGUGCGCCAACCUGGAUCUGCUUGAAGAGAUCAGAGAAACGAUGCAUGUCUGAAUAGUACCUUAUUAGUAAAAAGUUGUCUGGUAUUAUAAUAUCAAGGUCUGAAAUAAGAUCUUCAGAGUCGGUGACCUAGUGCUGCGUAAGGCAGAGAUAUCCUAACCAAGAGAGCAAGGCAAACUGGUCCCAAAUUGGGAGGGCCCAU
rnacentral:lncRNA from 1 species